UCCGUAGGCGGUGUGGCAAGUCGGAAGUGAAAUCUCUGGGCUUAACUCAGAGGCUGCUUCCGAAACUGCCGUGCUAGAGUGCGAGAGAGGCAAGUGGAAUUGCGGGUGUAGCGGUGAAAUGCGUAGAUAUCCGCAGGAACAUCCGAGGCGAAAGCGGCUUGCUGGAUCGCAACUGACGCUGAGGGACGAAAGCUAGGGGAGCAAACAGGAUUAGAUACCCUGGUAGUCCUAGCCCUAAACCAUCAGGACUUGGGGUUUGCCCUGUACGGGGCAAGUCCCGUAGCUAACGCGUUAAGUCCUGCGCCUGGGGGGUACGGUCGCAAGGCUGAA
rnacentral:rRNA from 1 species